GGCAAGGCGGGGAGGGGCGGGGCGAGGCGGGGCGGGGCAGGGCGGGAAGUGGAGUGGCGCGAGGGGCUGGGCGCGGAGGGGCUGGGCGCAGAGGGGCGGGGCCUCCCGCGUACCUGAGACGAGCUGCGCCUGCGUCCUCCGCGACUCCGCGCUUGGCAGCCCCUUCUGGGAAGGUGUAAAAUGCCGCCAGGUGGCCACCUUAUGAGAAUGCUGACAUCUUCACCUGAAAGCAAGCACAGAGUCACCAUCAUGCCUUCUUCAUCAUCUUUAUCUGCACUUCUCUCUCUCUUUCAAGCACUUCGAAGGGUUUCCCUGAGUGGGCUUCAGGAGAUCCAGUGUUACUCAAAGUCUAGUAUAUAUUUGGGAGAAGAGAGAAAUAAAAAGGCUAGGCUCUAAAGGGUCUUGAAUAUCUUACUGAGGAAUUUGCCCAUUAAUCCACAGGAUACAUAGUCGAAUAAGCUAGGAACUAUUUGUAGUGAGAUGAGUUGCUUUUUUCUUUUUUCAUUCCCUCCCUCAUCAUCUUCUUACCUGGAUAACUGUUACCCACCAAACUAAGGUAACAAUGGGAUAAUGCCUGGUCACAGAUGCUCCACCAAGAGAACUAAUCAUGAAAGUCUCAUUUCUCAGUGCCCUCCCACAAAGCCCUUCCUCAAAACACCCGUCUGCCUCCUCCAAACCCCACUAAUCAAUGAAACUUCAUAGCACUAAAAGGCUGACACAGUUGUAUUAGAGGUCUAAAUGAAAAAUAUUCAGCACCUAGAGCAGGAGGCAAUAGCACCAGUGGGGUCAAAGGAAAUCUAUGAAGGAGGAAACAAAGAGAGAAUCCAAAAACAAAAGGUUUUCCACCAACUACAUGAUUGGCUCACCCAGGCUGAGCAACUGGUCCAAAGAGGAUGAGAGCACAUGAAACUGAUCAGGAUUCAAGAACAAAGGCCCCAAACUCACUGAGAAGAGCAGAGAAACAUCUAAACCCCUACUUCUGUGACCUCUGUAUGGACUGGAAGAAAUGACUCAAACCUGAAGCAAAUGACCCUGCAUUCUUCUGGACCCAUGUCAACUUGCUUAAAUUGGAACUCCAUUUCCCCAAAUUUAUUUCCCUACAUGGUUACAAGUUAGGUUGGCCAAAAAGAAGAAUUGAGGCAAGAUUUGGAAGGUGAAAGUGGAGCAGAGCCACUCCCUCUGAAGAUCCUUGUGACUACACAUGGUGGUAGACACACAGAGAUUCUGGCAGGUUCCAGCUCGUCCUCCUCCCCAUGUCUAGCUCUUCUUUCCAACUCCAGUCCCUGCUGGCCAGAGGACCCAAGAUGACUCCAGAGCUUGGUGGGAGACCUCCAGAAGUAUCAGCUAUCUAUGGACUUUUCCACAGCUCCUCUCCUGGGUACCACUCCAGCAGUUAGACAUGUGCGGCUUCCUAGAAUCAUUACAAGUUCUGGCCUUACAAGUCCACCUGUACAGGACUUCAAGAUGGCUGGUUAGUGACUUUUCUCUAAUCCUUCAAUUCUGCUUUCAGACCUUUACUUCACCAGUUUCUCACAUAAUUCUGCAAGAGAUUAGUCUCUUAUCAGUAAGAUUCUAGUGGUUCUGCUUCCCUGAUUAAACCCCUCUAAUACACCAUUCAUGUUCUUGGCUACCUAGCAAUAAGAUUGUGUGGAUUGUACUACCCUUCCCUUCCA